AGUAAAAUCAUUUAGCAUGCUUUGAGCAAUGCUCUGAAGAUCUAUAAUUUGUCACACCUCAGUUUCAAACUGGGCAGUGCGGGGAUCUAAAUGAGACAUAGUGAGAGCAUACCACGACAAUUCGUGGUGUUCUCCAAGAACGUUAGCAUGUUUAUCUUCCCCUAACGAUGGGAAGACUGUCUUAUCAAAGUUACAAUCCGCAAAACGUGUGGUAAAUAAAUCGCCUAUCAAGGGCUCUAAAUAACGAAUCAUUGAUGGUGAAUCCUAACCAACAUAGAUUCUCAUUUUUCUCUUAGGACCCAUUUUGGUACGUAGUGGUGGCACUAUUGGCACAUAAACUAUGCCCCCAAACACAAGUAAAUGCAAAACGUCAGGCUCAUAUCUAGUAACCAACUGUAAUGGUGAAUGAGGUUGGGUAGCGAUAGGUCUCAAGAGGACCAGCAUAGCCCUAGGCAGAUACUGACAGUUUGGUUUGCGUAACUAAAGUUCGAGCUAUCAAUUGAAGGCACUUUAUGAAACUUCUGCCAGGGCAUUUUGGGUGUGAAUAUGGGGUUCAAGAUGUUU
rnacentral:lncRNA from 1 species